GAUGAACGCUGGCGGCGUGCUUAACACAUGCAAGUCGAACGGUGAACGAGGGAGCUUGCUCCCUCCGGAUCAGUGGCGAACGGGUGAGUAACACGUGAGCAAUCUGCCCUGGACUCUGGGAUAAGCGUUGGAAACGACGUCUAAUACCGGAUACGAGGCGUGGGGGCAUCCCCAACGCCUGGAAAGAACUUCGGUCCAGGAUGAGCUCGCGGCCUAUCAGCUUGUUGGUGAGGUAACGGCUCACCAAGGCGACGACGGGUAGCCGGCCUGAGAGGGUGACCGGCCGCACUGGGACUGAGACACGGCCCAGACUCCUACGGGAGGCAGCAGUGGGGAAUAUUGCACAAUGGGCGCAAGCCUGAUGCAGCAACGCCGCGUGAGGGACGACGGCCUUCGGGUUGUAAACCUCUUUUAGUAGGGAAGAAGCGAAAGUGACGGUACCUGCAGAAAAAGCACCGGCUAACUACGUGCCAGCAGCCGCAGUAAGAC
rnacentral:rRNA from 1 species